rfam:Mus musculus chromosome 15, GRC primary reference assembly.
AGACGUGACGGUGAUCCAGCAGCGCUCGCUGUUUCUCUACGACUGGCCAGGGUUACGUUGACUUGGCUUAUCUGGCUGGCCAAGCAAGUAUCCCAUUCCUCCCUCACUGUUCCCUGUAUGUCCCUCCUGAAGCUGUCCACUUGGUAGAAGACAACUCUCUCCCGGGGGAGCAGUGUUCAAGUGAAGAUACACAAGUAGCUGUGUUCCUCUGCUAGGACUUCCAAACAAGACCCGGAGCCAGUCCUCCUCGACGGAUUUCAAGAGCCGGAGGACUGAGUCCUCCUGACACGCCCUUCUCUUAGAGCUUUCUAGAAAGAA